ACAACAGCAUUUAACGGAGAGCGAGGAAUUACGGCCCCGCAGAGACUCCUCCGUUUUGCAGCCUGGGAAGAUCUCCGAUUGCUCUUAUGUGCAGCGCCGUCCGUCCGACCGGCAGCGCUGACAUCCUGGGCUCCUGCGCACGUGGGUCCGCAGCGGGGGCGCGCAAGACCUCGGCUUGUCCGCGGCAGCGAGCAGCUCUGCACGGCCCGGCUGCGGCGAUUGCAUGCGUUUGCACACCUGCGUGACUGCUCGCGUGUGUGUUUGCACACCUGCACGGCUGCCCGCGUGUGCAUUUGCACACCCACACAACAGCCCGUGCACAGCUGUCUGUGUGCAUUUGCACACCCACACAGCCGCCCGCGUGUGCAUUUGCACACCUGCACAACAGCCCGUGCACAGCUGUCUGUGUGCAUUUKCACACCCACGCGGCCGCCUGCGUGUGCAUUUGCACACCUGCACAACAGCCCGUGCACAUCUGUCUGUGUGCAUUUGCACACCCGCACGGCUGCCCGCGUGUGCACGCACGCGCGCGGGCGCAUUCGCACGCCUGGCCCCGCUCGCCCCCGCCGCGCUGAGCGUUGCUCACCCCGGCCACAGACAUCCCCAUCGAUACUGCAAUUAGGUGCAAUUUACGGAGAGAUUGCCUCGAAUUUUCCUGUUAUUGUGCUUCAAAUAGCUGGGAAUUUCUCGCUGAGGGUUGCGGCUCCGCGGGGAGGGCAGAGCCCCUGGACGGGGGGGGGGAGCUGGGCACGGGGCGGCUGGAGAGGCAGCGCUGCAGCGAGCCCGGGCGCAGCGUCGCGGGGCAGCGCGGUCCGAGCCCUCGUGCCUUUGGCUGCGUGUCCCUCCCUCGGCUCCAGCGCCGGCCCUGCCAAGCCUCCGGCACGGGCGGCACGGCCGAAAGCGGAGCAGGAGGGCUGGCACCCCGUGGGGGAUCUGCCGCCCUCGCAGGGCAGGGAGGGGGGCCRUGCCGGUCUUGCUGGGUGCUGCGGGAUCCUGGGAGCCCCCGGAGCUGCUGGAGCCCCCCAGAGCCCCCCGUGGCACCCAGAUCCUCCUGCAGCCCCUGGAUCCCUCCAGAGGCCCUGGAUCCUCCUGCAGCACCUGGAGCCCCUGGAGCCCCCCGCGAUCCCCGGAGCCCCCCAGAGCCCCCUGUGGCACCCGGAUCUUCCGGAGCCCUUGGAGCCUCUGGAGCUCCUGGAUCCCCCUGGAGCCCCCGGAUCCCCCCGCAGCUGCUCCCAGCCUCCUGGCGAAGGCGAGAGGGGAGCGGAGGCUUUUCGGGUGGGCUGGUCCCCCCCCCCCAAGAGUUUUUUUAAUCGUUUGAUUUACUUAUCUUGCCUCAGAUCGGCUGAUCUACUCUGCUGCUUUUUAAUUGCUUCAAAAGUUGAGCGGUUUUUCAUGUUUUAA
rnacentral:lncRNA from 1 species